rnacentral:rRNA from 1 species
AACGUAGGACGCAAGCGUUGUUCGGAAUCACUGGGCGUAAAGGGUGCGUAGGCGGUUUGGUAAGUCAGAUGUGAAAUCCCGGGGCUCAACCCCGGAACUGCAUCCGAUACUGCCAGACUUGAGGACUGGAGAGGUGACUGGAAUUCUCGGUGUAGCAGUGAAAUGCGUGGAUAUCGAGAGGAACACUCGUGGCGUAAGCGAGUCACUGGACAGUAUCUGACGCUGAGGCACGAAGGCCAGGGUAGCGAAAGGG